rnacentral:tRNA from 1 species
GUUUCAGUAGUUUAAAUAAAAAUAUUAGUUUUGUAAAUUAAAGAUGUUUUCCUUGAAAUU